CUCUUUCUCACCAAAUAAAAUGAACGGACACGUGUCUCAUUCUUACAAUCGGUUUUGAUAAACACUGAAAGUACAUACAAGACUACGGAGAACUACGGAAAACUGAAGAAGGGGGUAGAAAAGGUACUAGAAGGAAUGACUGUACACGGGCAUCUAUAUACAUGCAUCUGAACCGUUGUAACGUCGUCUUCUCGGUAGCGUUAGUGAACACGUAAUCUUGAGUGACACGCGUUGUGUGUGUUUUUUCAACCGGCAGUUAUACAAGUCACUGAUCAUGUUUCCUACGAUAGACAAGACGUUCUAUCAAAAUGUAGAGGAACAUAAGUUUCCGAGACUCAACAUGCGGUGGAACAGAUACGUCGACUGUUUGACUUAUUUGACGGAAACCUAUGGUCUUCGUAUGGCAGUAAGGAUAAUGGCUCACGAAGGUCAAUUGAUGAAUCAUUUAAUGAACAAUCAGGACAUGCACGAUUCUAUAACGCAGUGGUUACAAUACAAUUACAAUCUAAUAGACAAAAAGAAACACAAAAAAGAUCUGGAUGUCUCGAUAGCUCACAAGUUAACUGGGAACCAAGAGUUUCAGGCGAAAAAUUAUGCUGCAUCUCUGGAAUCAUAUACAAAAAGCGCAAUAUUUGCUCCAUUAGAUAGUGAAGAGUUGUCGAUAGCAAUUGGAAAUAGAUCAGCCUCUCUGUUCCAAUUGAACAGAUUGGUGGACUGCAUCAAAGAUAUCAAAUUGGCGUUAAAAUUUAAUUAUCCUGACCAUUUACGCCACAAGCUGUAUCUGCGUGAGGCUGAGUGUUAUUUAAAAUUAGGUGAAAGAAUACCAGCCAUUGAAGCUGUUAUUAAAGCACGUGCUGUGGUAUCUAUGUUUAAAUCAUGUAAAAACAAAGAACAAUUGCAAAAGAAAUUGAAUGAAGUAAGGUCAAAGGCAUCACAAUUAAAGGAUGAUGCAGAUGAUGCAGAUGAUGCAGAUGAUGAAAAUACUGCCAACACUACAAAUACUACAGAAUUUUCACAGCCUCAAUUCGCAUUCGGUGAAAAUCCGGACUUCCAGUUUGCAUCGGCAGCUGUAUCAUUAGAUGAGACAUUGUCAAAAGGUAGACACGUCGUGGCAAAUAGAGACAUUAAAAAGGGACAAGUUCUUUUCAUUGAAAAGGCUUUCGCCUUUGUUCCAUUGAACAUUUACGAAAUGAAUCAUGUCUGUCACCAUUGUUGUCGCACAAUCACUGCAGAAGUUUGUACACCAUGUACGACUUGUAUCGAUGUUUUAUACUGCGACUUGGAAUGUUUGGAAAAGGCACGUCCAUAUCAUCGCUGGGAAUGUCUCGGCUAUCAAUUGUGUAUCUGGUCUCAGAUCGGAAUAGCAUAUUUGGCCUUGAAAAUGUUAUUCAUCAGUGUACUUACGACCGAUAUUGACAAAUUUAACGACGUACAAGUGCUAAUGACUAAUUUUGACCAAGCUAAUCCAAGCGAUACUAUUUCAUAUGCACUCACAGCAAGUUUGCUUACGCAUUAUCUUUCGGGUUAUACUGACUUUUUCGAAAGUGUCAAUCUUAAAGAAUGCCUAGCAUCGAAGUUCACUGAUGAGCACGAUGGAUUCUCUGCCACCUAUAAUCUCGAUAGAACGUGCCAUCAACGAUUGUUUGUGGGCUCUCUACUAUUGAAGUACAUAUUACAGCUUGUUGCUAAUGGGUACGCUAUUACAAAGAUAAACACGACAUUGAUACCAGAUUCAUGUUUGCGCGUCCAGCAACAAGAUAGAAUAGCAACAGCAAUUUAUCCUACUGCAAGCUUCAUGAAUCACUCGUGUAAUCCUAAUGUAAUAAAUAGCUUCAUGGACGACGUUUUAAUAGUGAAAGCUGUACGUGACAUUAAAGAGAAUGAAGAAAUUGUACAUUGUUAUGGACCUGAUUUUAGAAGAAUGCCAAGAUCAGAGAGACAGGAACGAUUAAAAAGUCAAUAUUGUUUUAAAUGUUCUUGUAACGCAUGCACCAGUCCAGAAUAUAAAUUUUUCUUGGAAAAAUUCAGCGCGUUAAAGUGCCCAGAAUGCAGCGGACCAUUGCGUGAUGCUGACUCUCAAUUUUCCUGUAUGGAUUGUGGAAAAGUAUUCAAAGAAAUUAAUUAUGGGCUCUCUUUAGGACAAGCUAAAAUGUUUUUUGAUGAAGGAGUAACUUUCUUAAACAAUAAUCAGUACCCAGAAGCGAUAAAUAAAUUCAUGCAAUGUUUGUCGAUUAGAAGAGAAAUAUUAUACAAACUUCACAAUGACAUUACCAAAACCUUCGAUUAUAUUGCAAGAGUAUAUGCUAAAGCAGAACAAUGGUUGAAUAGCAUUACAUACAUUGAGUACACCAUGAUAGCCGUCGAAGAAAAAUAUGGUCCCUCGAGUAUAGAAGUCUGUUACGAAUUAAAUAAAUUAACAGAUAUAUGCAUCACCUAUUUGCAGAACGAAAGUAAAACACAAACCAAAUUUUAUAAAAACAUUUUAAAAAAGACACGGCGAUAUUUGAAUAGAUCUCAGGAAAUUGUAGAUCUCGCUUAUGGUCCCUGGAGCGUUCUUCACAAUGAAACUGUCGUCAAGAAGAAGGUUCUUGAGGAUAUCUUGAAAGAUUAUAACGUGUGAUAUGUGACAAUUUUCAACGUAUAACAGAGAAUAAAGAGUGCAGAAGAAAGCACCUUUACAUGCCUUUCCAUAGAUUGGAUUAUAAUAUAGUAUUCAUCUUGCCUAAUUAUUCGCACGGAUCGGCUAGAAUGUUUAAUUUUUUAACGCACGCAGCAAUAAAAAAGUUACAAUUUCGA
rnacentral:misc_RNA from 1 species